GACAUCCAUAGAGCUUGCACAUAAGCCUGUGAGAUCUGUUAAGCAGUUGGACAGAGUGGUCCCCAAUGCGUAUAAACCAGUAACAGAUCACAAAAGUAAUAUUGAUUACAACAACAAGAAAAAAGAACUUGGAAAGCGGUCCAGAGGAUCUCGAGAAGACGUUUUGGAUAUGCUGUUCAGUGCUUUUGAAAGACAUCAGUAUUAUAACAUCAAAGACCUAGUGAGAAUCACAGAGCAGCCUAUUACAUACUUAAAAGAAAUCUUGAAAGAUGUUGGCGUGUACAACAUGAGGGCACCGCAUAAAAACAUGUGGGAACUGAAACCAGAGUACAGACAUUACAAACCAGAAACUGACGACAAGUCGUAGCAUAUGUACAUAUCCAAACCUAAACAUCAGGUAUUACUAUGCUCCAACAAUCAUAUGGUUGCUUCUACCUCCAUGCUGCGGUUUGUUUUCAUUUCCAUGCAAUUAUUAGAUGGAAUUUCAGCCCUCAUUUGCCCUCGUGAAAAUCGCAUCCUUUCACUGACAGGAAAUUGAAGUAUUAUGAUUGACAUGUUAAUGGUAACAUACAUAUGUAUGCUACAUGGGCACGAGAGCAAUGAUAGAGACACCAUACUGACAAUCUGUUCGCAAAUAAGCCCUCCAUCACAUUCAUUUAAAAUGCGGAAUGAUUUAUACACAAGAAAUCACAAUUCUGACAAAAUGACGCAGACCAGUCCUCAAUUCUGACUAAAUGUCAGUACUUGAAAUGUGUCAGCAACUGUUUCUUUAG